GCCAAACAGCUAGCUUAACAAUUUUCUUAACUUUUAAUUAUAGAUAAAAUAAAAUAAACUUACUUUAUAAAUUAAAUCAUUCUAUUACCUUAGUAUGGGAGACAAAAAAGGUUCAACAUAAAGCAAUAGAUAUAGUACCGUAAGGGAAAGCUGAAAGAGAAAUGAAAUAACCCAUAUAAGCACUAAAAAGCAAAGACUAAACCUUGUGCCUUUUGCAUCAUGAUUUAGCCAGUAAUCCCAAGCAAAGAGACCUUUAGUUUGAAACCCCGAAACCAGGUGAGCUACCCCGAGACAGCCUAUUAGGGCCAACCCGUCUCUGUGGCAAAAGAGUGGGAAGAGCUCCGGGUAGAAGUGACAGACCUACCGAACCUGGUGAUAGCUGGUUGCCUAAAAAAUGAAUAGAAGUUCAGCCUCAUUAACCUUUAGCCAAAAAUCAAUAUAGUAAGACCAUAAAGCUACUUAUGAGAGUUAGUUAAAGGGGGUACAGCCCCUUUAACCAAGGACACAACCUUUUAAGGAGGAUAAAGAUCAUAAUAAUUAAAACAUAUGUUUUAGUGGGCCUAAAAGCAGCCACCUAAAUAGAAAGCGUCAAAGCUCAGACAAAAAAAAGUUUAUUAUUUUGAUAAUAUAAAUCUUAUUCCCCUAUUUCUAUUAGGCCAACCCAUGCCACCAUGGGAAAGAUUAUGCUAAAAUGAGUAACAAGAAGAACUACACCCUUCUCCCUAGCACAAGUGUAAACCAAACUGGAUUAACCAUUGGUAAUUAACGAACUCAAUCAAAGAGAGUAAUGUGAGCUAUCAGUAAAUUCAAGAAAAAUUCACAACUAAAUCAUCGUUAACCCCACACUGGAGUGCCACUUAAAGGAAAGACUUAAAGAUAAGGAAGGAACUCGGCAAACCCAAGCCUCGCCUGUUUACCAAAAACAUCGCCUCCUGCAACAAACCAAGUAUAAGAGGUCCAGCCUGCCCAGUGACCAAAAGUUUAACGGCCGCGGUAUCCUAACCGUGCAAAGGUAGCGCAAUCACUUGUCUUUUAAAUAAAGACCUGUAUGAAUGGCCAAACGAGGGCUUAACUGUCUCCCUUAUCAAGUCAGUAAAAUUGAUCUACCCGUGCAGAAGCGGGUAUAAACAUACAAGACGAGAAGACCCUUUGGAGCUUAAGGUAAAAAUUCACCCACGUCAAGCAGCUUAAUAUACAAAGCAACUCCUUUAUUAUAAACCUUGUGGAUUAUGAAAUAAUACCUUCGGUUGGGGCGACCAUGGAGAAAAAGAAAACCUCCAAGUGGAAUGAGACCACCCCUCAAAACUAAGAGAGACAUCUCUAAGCCACAGAACAUCUGACCAUAAAUGAUCCGGCUAACUAACAGCCGAUCAACGAACCAAGUUACCCCAGGGAUAACAGCGCAAUCCUCUCCAAGAGACCAUAUCGACGAGAGGGUUUACGACCUCGAUGUUGGAUCAGGACAUCCUAAUGGUGCAGCCGCUAUUAAGGGUUCGUUUGUUCAACGAUUAAAGUCCUACGUGAUCUGAGUUCAGACCGGAGCAAUCCAGGUCAGUUUCUAUCUGUAACUCUACUUUUCCUAGUACGAAAGGACCGGGAAAGAGGGGCCCAUACCACCGGCAAGCCCCACCCUCAACCCAUGAAAACAAAUAAAUAGUAUUAAAGGGAGAACAAAGUCCCGACCAAGAUAAGGACAUAU